UGGCCUAGAGGAGGCGUGUCCUGGACGUUUAUUUUCGGGGCGCGGUGGUAGUGGGAGGUUUGUGCUUACAGGUAGGGGCCUUUAGGGGGCGCAUAUAGUGGCUGUGUCCUAGGCUGUGCGUAUAUCCCUGUACGGCUGAGAGGAGCAGGCGCUCGUACAUAUUGGACAGCUGAAGGCAUGUCCGGCCCCUCAGCUCUGUAGCGGAGGACGCUUCAUAUAACUUCACUCCGGGGUAGAGAUGCUGCUUGACUUUCAGGUCACGUUUAAUCUCCACAGAGAUGUUUUGCCGUGGUUGUCGGCUCAAGGAAGUCCAGCUUGUGAUACCGUAGAGAAAAGCUCAAGAACACUCCGAAUCGUUAACGUAGAGAGAGAUGGGAACAUCUUGUAUACUUGGAAGGGAGUAGAGGGGUUCACAGGUGUUGGUUUAUAUGGUCCUCUUGCUAAACAAAAUGAGAUGUUAUAUUCUUUUGAUAGUGAAGUUAAUAUUAUAAGUGCUUCUGUCAACAGUGGAAAAACUUUACUUGGCUUAAGUUACUGCCAUCCCACAUAUGAAUCACAAAGCCGACUUCCAUCACCAGUUUCCAGAUAUUUGGCUCUACUUAUUGAACUAAAACCAAUUAACAAUGUGAAAGUUCUCAAAGCUGUUGAUAGCAGCAUUCGAGUGCAGUUUUUAUGUCCAGCAGAAGAUAUAUACCUGUCUUAUGAAAGUCACCUGCUAGUAGUUUCAGAGGAAAAAUAUAUUGAUGAGUUUCAUAUAACUACUGGUGAGGAAGAUGGAAAAAGAGUGGUUAUUAAGAAUAUUGGUCAAAUUCCAAAGGACAGACUCGCUGAAGACUUUGUGUGGGCGCAGUGGGAUGUGUCUGACCAGAUGCUUUUUUAUAUUGUUCCCAAGCGUGCAGGUUGUGUUUUGCAUUGUAUCCAGUUUUAUCCAGAUGGCAAUUUUAAAUAUGUACUUGAAUUUCCACUUGAAAUUUCCUUAGAUGAUCAAGGUGUAAGUUUGAUAAAUUUGGGAUAUGAUCCCCCUGAAGAAAGAGGAAGGGGAAGAAUUACACCUCAAAAUCUACAGGUUUUUACAAAUAAAACAGGUGGUUUGUGUCUUUUUUAUUGUCAACCUCCAAACGUUUUGCUAGAAUUUACGUACAUGGUAGCCUUUUUGCAUAAAGGUUGCAGUAAGACUUUUAAGGUCAGCACUACGACAGAUGCUAAGCAACUUAAGAAAGUAUCUUUUAUUAAUAUUGACAGUUAUGUUGCAGUUUACUUGCCCGACCAAUUUCUACAUUUGAUAAACACAAGACAUGCAGAGUUAAUGUGUUACCACUUAUUUUUAGCAGCUGAGGAUGCCAGAAUCAGUGGCAUGUGCUGCGACUGUCCCUUGCAGACAGUUCUGAAGACUCAGGUUAUAGAAUGCUGUACUGGAAUCCUGUUCUCUGUGUCUAUAAACCAGGAACAACUUUUCAAAUUUUUAACAGAAAGUAGACGGGACUGUGAACGUUUGGCAGUCUUACAUUGCUUUUUGUUACAUCUAGACCUUCAGCCACAACAAGAGACCCAGAUAAUUGAGUGGAUCUGUGACAACCUGUCAACGUGUCUGACUUUUGACCCCAUACAGGAGUUUAUCAUUGCUUCGUUGCAUAGGCACCUGAGUUUGGAAACUGCAUACCUGGAUAAACUGUUACCUUACACUUCAGUGCCUUUUUGGAGUCAGCAUAUAGAUGGUGUGUCUUGUACGACUGACAUAACUGAUAUGCCAAUUCUAAAGAUGGGAAUAUUUAAAGGCUUUUGGGAAAAGUUUCAUUCUGAACUUGAAUGCAUGAAGCAGGCCCAGCAGCGAUUUUUGUACAGUAACCAUAUGCAGCGAAGAGAUUGGUGCAGACUGAUUUCUGAGGUGAAUACAAAAGAGAAGAAAAUUGAUGUUUAUCAAAGGAAUAUACUUGAGAAUGCUAAGAAGGUUCUUCAAAACAUGGAUACAAGAAAAUAUGCAGCAGUUGAAAGAAUUGUGCCAUUAAACCAAGAAGAGGACUACCUACAGAAAGAUCUAAUGGGUCUGAUGAUGGUGAAAUUGAAGGAUCAUUUGUGUCAACAUCUUCAUGUUGCAAAAAACAAGAUUGACAAACUUGUAUUGGAUUUUGUCUGUAAACAGCUGGACCUUGUGUGUCAGAUAUUGGAGGUCGUUUGGAGGCGGCAUGUUCUUGAUCAUAGCAUCUUAUGUUUGGACCGGAGUGGAAAUUCUUCAGAGUAUUUUGCUUUUCAUGUCAUGUGCCAAAUAACAGAUUCUGCAAGCCGCAUGUGUAUGCCAUUACCUCCUGGUUUUCAGACUCUGCAUCUGGUUCUCGCAGUGCGCUGCCUCCCUCUAGCAAACUUGCUUCAUUACAUAGAUUCUGGAGUAUUGACCUUAACAGAAACAUUUGUUGUUAAACUCCUUAAAGAACUGGAUGAUAAUGUAACAAAUGAAAAACUGAAGUGUAGCAUCAUUCUGCGACUUCCAGAGAACAUUUGUGAAAAAGUCCAUAGUUUGUGGGAUCAUGCCAUCAGCAAUAAUUUAAUUGCUAGGAAGUAUGUGAAAAAGCUGCUCUUCAGGCUUAACCAAAGGGAGGUUACUCAACAAUCUCCAACUGAUCGCUCUCCACUCAUUAACUUUCUACCACUGAAUUAUUUAAUAAUGAUGCUGUCAGAAGUGGAAGAUAGAGCUUCGAGUGAAUAAAGAUGGCACAUUGAUCUUCACCGAGCUGGAGUUCUUCAUAUUCUUCUGUUUACAAGACUUGGGUGCAGUCCGCACCCUGCUCUGCGCUCAAUCUGGUGGGCUUGGGAAUUAAAUCCUUUUGAAGAAGAUAACAUAGAUGCUGCAUUUCUGGAAGAGAUUGCCUUGAAACAAACCGCAGAUUUACUAAGCCUACAACAGUACUAGACACUGGAUCAAAGUAAUGGCAUCUGUCUGUACAUUUCUGCCCGGUGCCAGGAAGGUGGCCAUAGUUCCUGUGACAGUUCUGUUGAAAUCAUGUUGUGCAACACUGAAAUUCUGUUUAAAUGUAGCUACUUUCAAUGUCUGUGAUAUUUCCUAUUGUGGUACAUUCUCUUUUUGCAGCUAAAAAGUAUUUUAAGGAUGGUAAGGUGAUGGUACCAAGUGAUUUAUAAUAUUGGCAAGAUAUUGGUUUUAGUCAGCAAUUUGAAACCAGAAAUGUGCCAGUUGCAUAAAAAACUUAUACAAUAUGUAUUCCUCAUAGGAAUUGUAUCUUACAAUAUAAAUUUGCAAAGAAUUUUGCUCAGAAAAUGUUUACAAAAACACUACCUUACAUUUUUAAAUAGCUUUAGUUCUCUGCUAGGAUGUGAUAAAGGAAUGGGUGGUGGGUACCUUUUUAAAGGGGUACUCCGCCCCUGGACAUCUUAUCCCCUAUCCAAAGAAUAGGGGAUAAGAUGUCUGAUCAC